AGUGAACGCUGGCGGUAGGCCUAACACAUGCAAGUCGAACGGCAGCACAGUAAGAGCUUGCUCUUACGGGUGGCGAGUGGCGGACGGGUGAGGAAUACAUCGGAAUCUACUUUUUCGUGGGGGAUAACGUAGGGAAACUUACGCUAAUACCGCAUACGACCUACGGGUGAAAGCAGGGGAUCUUCGGACCUUGCGCGAUUGAAUGAGCCGAUGUCGGAUUAGCUAGUUGGCGGGGUAAAGGCCCACCAAGGCGACGAUCCGUAGCUGGUCUGAGAAGAUGAUCAGCCACACUGGAACUGAGACACGGUCCAGACUCCUACGGGAGGCGGCAGUGGGGAAUAUUGGACAAUGGGCGCAAGCCUGAUCCAGCCAUACCGCGUGGGUGAAGAAGGCCUUCGGGUUGUAAAGCCCUUUUGUUGGGAAAGAAAAGCAGCAGGUUAAUACCCCGCUGUUCUGACGGUACCCAAAGAAUAAGCACCGGCUAACUUCGUG
rnacentral:rRNA from 1 species